AUUGAACGCUGGCGGCAGGCUUAACACAUGCAAGUCGAGCGGAGACUUCGGUCUUAGCGGCGAACGGGUGAGUAAUACCUAGGAAUCUGCCUAUUAGUGGGGGAUAACGAAUCGAAAGGUUCGCUAAUACCGCAUACGUCCUACGGGAGAAAGGGGGGGAUCUUCGGACCUCUCGCUAAUAGAUGAGCCUAGGCCGGAUUAGCUAGUUGGUAGGGUAAAGGCCUACCAAGGCGACGAUCUGUAGCUGGUCUGAGAGGAUGGCCAGCCACACUGGAACUGAGACACGGUCCAGACUCCUACGGGAGGCAGCAGUGGGGAAUUUUUGGACAAUGGGCGCAAGCCUGAUCCAGCCAUGCCGCGUGAGUGAAGAAGGCCUCGGUU
rnacentral:rRNA from 1 species